rnacentral:lncRNA from 1 species
AGAAGACCUGCUUUUGUUGGCUCCCUGACCACUGGCAUGGGAAACCUGGGGUCUCACACUCUCUUUCCCCCCAGUCAACGACUGUCUGCAUCGGUUAGAAGUGUGAGGAGAGGAAAUUGAGCAAGCAGCCUUUUCUGCAAAGUGACCACAACUGUUGGUACAAGGAGGGAGCCGCCAGAGAGAAGGAAGGCUCUUCAGAAGAGCUUUUUCCUUAAGAAACCAGAAUCACAGACUUCUCCUAUGUUGAUUUCUCUAAGACUCCCAAACUACUUCUGCAUUUAUUUAAGUCAGUGAAAACUUUUGGUGAUGGGACCACUGGAAGUUUGGCUAAGCGAUGCUCCACUGCAGCUGCUUGUUGCUCCUGCCCCAGAGACCUCUGGGUCACUCCCUUCCCGGUCAGUUUAUUAUGCUACCGCCAGGGAAGCAGGAAAACCGUAAAUCAGUGAAGCCCCAGGAAGGGACUGGAAGAGCAGAGCCCAGGGAACGGGAGCGAGUUAGAUCCGGAGGCUGCCGAUCUCAGAGAAUUCGCCACAGGAUGUGCGGCAUUAUGAAUGCAUGACUGGAGGGCAGACAGGAGCUGAGGAAAAUUCUAGAAGGACCCUCCACGAGCUAUCCAGCAUGGGGAGCAGAUUCAUUUGGGAUGUUUUAGGGGAGGAAUGAUCUGUCCAGGUAUUUCAGGAAAUUUCUGAUUCUAAGGGAGGGAAGUAGAGAACACUUCUAAUCCUGGUAAUAAAUAUUUUGUGUCACCAAGUCUCCCU